AACGAACGCUGGCGGCAUGCCUAACACAUGCAAGUCGAACGAGACCUUCGGGUCUAGUGGCGCACGGGUGCGUAACGCGUGGGAACCUGCCCUUAGGUUCGGAAUAACUCCCCGAAGGGGGUGCUAAUACCGGAUAAUGUCUUCGGACCAAAGAUUUAUCGCCUUUGGAUGGGCCCGCGUUGGAUUAGCUAGUUGGUAGGGUAAAAGCCUACCAAGGCGACGUUCCAUAGCUGGUGGGAGAGGAGGAUCAGCCACGCUGGGGAUGAGACACGGCCCAGUAUGGGACGCAGGGGAGGAGAAGGGAGUAUAGGGCGAGGAGCGAUAACCUAAUCCCGCAGUGCCGGGGAAGAGAGCAAGCGGGUAGGAUUGUAAAGCCCUUUGUCACGGGAUGUGAGUGACGGUAAUGGGAGAAGAAGCUCCGGCUAACUCCGUG
rnacentral:rRNA from 1 species